GUCUGGUUAAUUCCGAUAACGAACGAGACUCUAGCCUGCCAAAUAGUUAGCGGAUAACGAUUCGUCCGCUUUAACUUCUUAGAGGGACAAGUGGCGUUCAGCCACACGAGAUUGAGCAAUAACAGGUCUGUGAUGCCCUUAGAUGUUCGGGGCCGCACGCGCGCUACACUGAAAGAAUCAGCGUGUGUCUACCCUGGUCCGGAAGGAUUGGGUAACCCGUUGAACCUCUUUCGUGCUAGGGAUUGGGGCUUGUAAUUAUUCCCCAUGAACGAGGAAUUCCCAGUAAGCGCGAGUCAUAAGCUCGCGUGAU
rnacentral:rRNA from 1 species